GUGUCAGCCGCCGCGGUAAUACAGAGGGUGCAAGCGUUAAUCGGAUUUACUGGGCGUAAAGCGCGCGUAGGCGGCUAAUUAAGUCAAAUGUGAAAUCCCCGAGCUUAACCUGGGAAUUGCAUUCGAUACUGGUUAGCUAGAGUGUGGGAGAGGAUGGUAGAAUUCCAGGUGUAGCGGUGAAAUGCGUAGAGAUCUGGAGGAAUACCGAUGGCGAAGGCAGCCAUCUGGCCUAACACUGACGCUGAGGUGCGAAAGCAUGGGGAGCAAACAGGAUUAGAUACCCCCGUAGUCC
rnacentral:rRNA from 1 species